UACAGAGGGUGCAAGCGUUAAUCGGAAUUACUGGGCGUAAAGCGUGCGUAGACGGUUAUGUAAGUCGGGUGUGAAAGCCCCGGGCUCAACCUGGGAAUUGCAUUCGGGACUGCAAGGCUGGAGUGCGGCAGAGGAGACUGGAAUUCCUGGUGUAGCAGUGAAAUGCGUAGAUAUCAGGAGGAACACCGGUGGCGAAGGCGGGUCUCUGGGCCGAUACUGACGCUGAGGUGCGAAAGCGUGGGGAGCAAACAGG
rnacentral:rRNA from 1 species